rnacentral:pre_miRNA from 1 species
CAUGCAGCAGUGGGGUCCUUUAGCCUGGCCUGUGCCCUCUCACAAUCCGGGACCCCUUGGGGGAAGUCGGAGAGCUGGUUUCGGCCCCAUGCCCACAGGCCAGGCUGAGGGACCCCACUGGUGCACA